UGGGGAAUAUUGGACAAUGGGCGAAAGCCUGAUCCAGCCAUGCCGCGUGUGUGAAGAAGGCUUUCGGGUUGUAAAGCACUUUCAGCGAGGAAGAAGGCUUUCGGCUUAAUACGUCGGAAGAAGGACAUCACUCGCAGAAGAAGCACCGGCUAACUCCGUGCCAGCAGCCGCGGUAAUACGGAGGGUGCGAGCGUUAAUCGGAAUUACUGGGCGUAAAGCGCGCGUAGGUGGCUUGAUAAGCCGGUUGUGAAAGCCCCGGGCUCAACCUGGGAACGGCAUCCGGAACUGUCAGGCUAGAGUGCAGGAGAGGAAGGUAGAAUUCCCGGUGUAGCGGUGAAAUGCGUAGAGAUCGGGAGGAAUACCAGUGGCGAAGGCGGCCUUCUGGACUGACACUGACACUGAGGUGCGAAAGCGUGGGUAGCAAACAGGAUUAGAUACCCCCGUAGUCC
rnacentral:rRNA from 1 species